UACGAAGGGUGCAAACGUUUGCUCGGAAUUAUUGGGCGUAAAGCGCACGUAGGCGGCGCUCUAAGUCGGAUGUGAAAGCCUUUGGCUCAACCAAAGAAGUGCAUUCGAAACUGGAGCGCUUGAGUAGUUAAGAGGAUCGCGGAAUUCCCGGUGUAGAGGUGAAAUUCGUAGAUAUCGGGAGGAACACCAGUGGCGAAGGCGGCGAUCUGGGAACAUACUGACGCUGAGGUGCGAAAGCGUGGGGAGCAAACAGGG
rnacentral:rRNA from 1 species